rnacentral:rRNA from 1 species
UGCGUAGGUGGGCAGGUAAGUCAGUGGUGAAAUCUCCGGGCUUAACCCGGAAACUGCCGUUGAUACUAUCUGUCUUGAAUGCCGUGGAGGUGAGCGGAAUAUGUCAUGUAGCGGUGAAAUGCUUAGAUAUGACAUAGAACACCAAUUGCGUAGGCAGCUCGCUACACGGUUAUUGACGCUGAGGCACGAAAGCGUGGGGAUCAAACAGGAUUAGAUACCCUGGUAGUCCACGCCCUAAACGAUGAUCACUCGACAUCAGCGAUACACUGUUGGUGUCUGAGCGAAAGCAUUAAGUGAUCCACCUGGGAAGUACGACCGCAAGGUUGAA